GCAUUGGUGGUUCAGUGGUAGAAUUCUUGCCUUUCAUGCAGGAGACCUGGGUUUGAUUCCCAGCCAAGGUA
rnacentral:tRNA from 1 species